rnacentral:rRNA from 1 species
CAAUCUAUACGGUGAAACUGCGAAUGGCUCAUUAAAUCAGUUAUCGUUUAUUUGAUAGUACCUUACUACUUGGAUAACCGUGGUAAUUCUAGAGCUAAUACAUGCUAAAAACCCCGACUUCGGGAGGGGUGUAUUUAUUAGAUAAAAAACCAAUGCCCCUCGGGGCUCCUUGGUGAUUCAUGAUAACUUAACGAAUCGCAUGGCCUUGCGCCGGCGAUGGUUCAUUCAAAUUUCUGCCCUAUCAACUUUCGAUGGUAGGAUAGUGGCCUACCAUGGUGUCAACGGGUAACGGGGAAUUAGGGUUCUAUUCCGGAGAGGGAGCCUGAGAAACGGCUACCACAUCCAAGGAAGGCAGCAGGCGCGCAAAUUACCCAAUCCCGACGCGGGGAGGUAGUGACAAUAAAUACUGAUACAGGGCUCUUUUGGGUCUUGUAAUUGGAAUGAGUACAAUUUAAAUCCCUUAACGAGGAACAAUUGGAGGGCAAGUCUGGUGCCAGCAGCCGCGGUAAUUCCAGCUCCAAUAGCGUAUAUUAAAGUUGUUGCAGUUAAAAAGCUCGUAGUUGAACCUUGGGCCUGGCUGGCCGGUCCGCCUCACCGCGUGCACUGGUCCGGCCGGGCCUUUCCUUCUGGGGAGCCGCAUGCCCUUCGCUGGGCGUGCCGGGGAACCAGGACUUUUACUUUGAAAAAAUUAGAGUGUUCAAAGCAGGCCUUUGCUCGAAUACAUUAGCAUGGAAUAAUGGAAUAGGACGUGUGGUUCUAUUUUGUUGGUUUCUAGGACCGC